rnacentral:rRNA from 1 species
AUUGAACGCUGGCGGCAGGCUUAACACAUGCAAGUCGAGCGGAGAUGAGGUGCUUGCACCUUAUCUUAGCGGCGGACGGGUGAGUAAUGCUUAGGAAUCUGCCUAUUAGUGGGGGACCACAUUCCGAAAGGAAUGCUAAUACCGCAUACGUCCUACGGGCGAAAGCAGGGGAUUUUCGGCCCUUGCGCUAAUAGAUGAGCCUAGGUCGGAUGAGCUAAUUGGUGGGGUAAAGGCCUACCAAGGCGACGAUCGGUAGCGGGUCUGAAAGGAUGAUCCGCAACACUGGGACUGAGACACGGCCCAGACUCCUACGGGAGGCAGCAGUGGGGAAUAUUGGACAAUGGGGGGAACCCUGAUCCAGCCAUGCCGCGUGUGUGAAGAAGGCCUUAUGGUUGUAAAGCACUUUAAGCGAGGAGGAGGCUACUGAGACUAAUACUCUUGGAUAGUGGACGUUACUCGCAGAAUAAGCACCGGCUAACUCUGUGCCAGCAGCCGCGGUAA